UGUCUUGAAAUACUUUCAGCAUGAAGUAUUGUGUGAUGAAAAAAAUGUGUAUUUACUACAAUGUGUAAAUCAACAAUAAGUUUGUUGCAAAGGAGAUUAAAAGUGGGUGGUUAAAGACAUAUAAAGUGAUAUGGUCUAGUUCAACAACUGCCUGUAUUUUUGGAAUACUGAAGAACAGUCUGUUGUAACAGGUUAAACCCCAUGGUGACCAUGAAAUUUACAUUGAUCAGAAGAUCCUUUGGAAAGAAUGUGCAUCAUCGCAUCGCCUGCCAAAAAAGGGAGCAAAAGAGAGACUACCUGAUGUAUGGACUUGAAUACCAGGUUUUACCCUGCACAAGCUGGCCGACAUGAGGAGAACAGGAGUGGGAAAACCGCGCCCUCUCCUUGACCAAGAAAAGCUGGAUUUGUUUAGAGGACCUGAUCAAAUGAGAUCAUGCACGAGACGCAUCGCGCAAAGGCCAUGACAGUAUAAUAGUUGCAAAGAAGUUUGACCGGCUGGUGGCAGACUUGGAGAGAAAGAUGAGAGCUGCACUCCGCCGCCUCAAAGAAAUGCUGACA